rnacentral:rRNA from 1 species
AAUUUCCGCGGGGGCGUCAAAGCUUACCAAAGAAUAUCAAACUCCGAAUGCCAUGUAGAUGAUGAACGGGAGUCAGACUGCACGAGAUAAGUUGGGCAGUCAAAAGGGAAAGAGCCCAGACCGCCAGCCAAGGUCCCAAAGUGUGUGUUAAGUGGAAAAGGAUGUGGGAUCUCCAAGACAACUAGGAUGUUGGCUCAGAAGCAGCCACACAUUCAAAGAGUGCGUAACAGCUCACUAGUCGAGAGGUCCUGCGCCGAAAAUGUCCGGGGCUGAAACACAACACCGAAGCUGCGGAAUUGCGAAUGCAAUUGGUAGAGGAGCAUUCUUAAUGCCGACGAAGCUGUACCGGAAGGAGCAGUGGAGGGAUAAGAAGAGAGAAUGCCGGAAUGAGUAGCGAGAGAGAGGUGGGAAUCCUCUCGGCCGAAUAUCCAAGGUUUCCAGAGUAAAGCUGAUCUGCUCUGGGUAAGUCGGGGCCUAAGGCGAGGUCAAGAGACGUAGCCGAUGGACAACAGGUUUAGAUUCCUGUACCGCAUAUAAACAGAACUGUGGGGACGCAUGGGGAGAGCAUGGGCCGGGAAUGGAAAUACCGGUGCAAGCGAAGGAGGUGUGCAGCCGGCAAAUCCGCUGCAUGAGCCGAAAGCGUGACGCGGAGCGAAAUGAAAGUAGCGAAGCAUGUGAGCCCUGUGCCGAGAAAAGCCGCUAUUGUUUUAUAUGUGCCCGUACCGUAAACCGACACAGGUGGAUGAGGAGAGAAUCCUAAGGCCGGCGGAAGAAGUAUUGUUAAGGAACUCGGCAAAAUGACCCCGUAACUUCGGGAGAAGGGGUGCCCAUGAAAGUGGGCCGCAGAGAAUAGGCUCAAGCAACUGUUUAGCAAAAACACAGGUCUAUGCGAAACCGAAAGGUGAAGUAUAUGGGCUGACGCCUGCCCGGUGCUGGAAGGUUAAGAGGAGAGGUUAGCGCAAGCGAAGCUUUGAAUUUAAGCCCCAGUAAACGGCGGCCGUAACUAUAACGGUCCUAAGGUAGCGAAAUUCCUUGUCGGGUAAGUUCCGACCCGCACGAAAGGCGUAAUGAUUUGAGCACUGUCUCGACAAUGCAUCCGGUGAAAUUGAAGUACCAGUGAAGAUGCUGGUUACCCGCGCCAGGACGGAAAGACCCCAUGGAGCUUUACUCCAGCUUGAUACUGGGAUUCGGUACUGCAUGUACAGGAUAGGUGGGAGACUGUGAAUCUGUGACGCCAGUUGCAGAGGAGUCAAUGUUGGGAUACCACCCUUGUAGUAUUGGAUUUCUAACCAUCAGCCGUGAACCGGCUGGGGGACAAUGUCAGGCGGGGAGUUUGACUGGGGCGGUCGCCUCCGAAAGGGUAUCGGAGGCGCUCAAAGGUUCCCUCAGAAUGGUUGGAAACCAUUCGAAGAGUGCAAAGGCAGAAGGGAGCUUGACUGCGACACCGACGGGUGGAGCAGGUACGAAAGUAGGACUUAGUGAUCCGGUGGUAUAAAGUGGGAUUGCCAUCGCUCAACGGAUAAAAGCUACCCUGGGGAUAACAGGCUUAUCACUCCCAAGAGUUCACAUCGACGGAGUGGUUUGGCACCUCGAUGUCGGCUCAUCGCAUCCUGGGGCUGUAGCAGGUCCCAAGGGUUGGGCUGUUCGCCCAUUAAAGCGGUACGCGAGCUGGGUUCAGAACGUCGUGAGACAGUUCGGUCCCUAUCCGGCGCGGGCGGAGGAUAUUUGAGAGGAGCUGUCCUUAGUACGAGAGGACCGGGAUGGACGGACCACUGGUGUAUCUGUUGUCGACCAACGGCAUGGCAGAGUAGCCAAGUCUGGAAGGGAUAAACGCUGAAGGCAUCUAAGCGUGAAGCCCCCCUCAAGAUGAGAUAUCCCUCACAUAAGUGAGUAAGAUCCCUUGA